rnacentral:lncRNA from 12 species
GGGACCGAGCCUCGAGGCGCCCCCCCCCGCCCCCCGCACGGUCCUUGGGCAGGUCUGCAGGGGGGGAGCGGGGAGGGGGCAGGGGGCAGGCCCCGGGACGUGCGUUCCCUCCGCCCUCGCCCUGCAGGCCCGGGGCAGGAGAGCCGGAGCCGCAGCGGCUGGAACCACGGCUCGGGCUCUGGGCCCGGCUCCCGGGCGCCCCGCAGUCGGGGUGGGGGUGCGGACGCCGGAGAAGGCGGGGGGCCCGCAGGACGAGCCCCGAGGCGGCGUGUCCUUGCCACCGACCACCGCGUCCCCCAAACCCUUCCUCGGGAAACUAUUUGAGACCCAAAAUGACAGCGCGAUGCGUCCUCAAUAAAAAGCGCACGGGGACCGACGGGGGGCCGCCUCGGGAGGGGACCGCCCCCCGCGGGAAGAAUCGCCAUCGCUGAUGAUGGUGCCAGCGAGAAGGGUUACGGCCGCUCCAAAGAAGCUCGAGUCCGGAUUUCCCUCCUCGGCUUUCGGCUGGGGAGGUGAUGCCGGGGUCCGGGGAUCGAGUCCCGCAUCGGGCUCCCUCUGCCCGGGUCUCUGCCUCUCUCUGGGUAUCGCAUGAAUAAAUACAUAAAAUCUAAACA